rnacentral:rRNA from 1 species
UUAGGAAUCUUCCACAAUGGGCGAAAGCCUGAUGGAGCGACGCCGCGUGAGGGAUGAAGGCCUUAGGGUUGUAAACCUCUAAAAGAGGGACGAUAAUGACGGUACCGGGAGAAGAAGCUGCGGCUAACUACGUGCCAGCAGCCGCGGUAAUACGUAGGCAGCAAGCGUUGUUCGGAGUUACUGGGCGUAAAGAGUGCGUAGGCGGUUUUCUAAGUUCGGUGUGAAAUCUCCCGGCUUAACUGGGAGGGUGCGCCGAAGACUGGGAUGCUGGAGUGAGGGAAAGGCAGGCGGAAUUCCUGGUGUAGCGGUGAAAUGCGUAGAUAUCAGGAGGAACACCGGCGGUGUAGACGGCUUGCUAGACCAUAACUGACGCUGAGGCACGAAAGCGUGGGUAGCAAACA